rnacentral:rRNA from 1 species
AUAGCGUAUAUUAAUAUUGUUGUAGUUAAAAAGCUCGUAGUUGAAUUUUGUCUUUGGCCGCUCGGUCCGCCUAACCGCGUGCACUGAUGUGGCCGGAGAUUUCCUUCUGGCUAACCUCAUGCCCUUCACUGGGUGUGUUGGGGAUCCAGGACUUUUACUUUGAAAAAAUUAGAGUGUUCAAAGCAGGCCUUUGCUCGAAUACAUUAGCAUGGAAUAAUAGAAUAGGACGGCGGUUCUAUUUUGUUGGUUUCUAGAGCCACCGUAAUGAUUAAUAGGGAUAGUCGGGGGCAUCAGUAUUCAAUUGUCAGAGGUGAAAUUCUUGGAUUUAUUGAAGACUAACUACUG